rnacentral:misc_RNA from 1 species
AAGUCGUAACAAGGUUUCCGUAGGUGAACCUGCGGAAGGAUCAUUAACACGUAUCCACGUAUCAACCAACCGCGCACUUGUUUUCACCCUCCCUGUUCCCUGCACAUGAAUUGGUAAGAUAAGACUUGUUUGAGUGGGAUCCUUCGGGGUCGCAAGAAUUAUCCCAUAUUACAAUUGGAGUGCAGACGCAGGCAAAAUUUGCUCGCAGGAGCGAAUCUCCAUUCAAGAUUCAACCUGUGGGUCCACUAUUAACACAUUUCACCGCCUUUUUGCUAGUUGACUUUUUUUAUGUGGAUCUCGCUAUAGCAUUAAUUUACUACACGGUGUCACACGUUUAAUUAUUUGAACGUUAAAAAUACAACUCUUAGCAAUGGAUAUCUUGGUUCUC